CAACAACCAGGAAGAACAUAGUACAUUCAUCUGACCAGGUUGGAGGUAGGUGCCCCUCGUACCCCCUGCAUGAGGCCCAGACGGGGGGGGGGGUAACAGUGGACUGCUUCUGGUUACGUAGCUGAGAUCCACUCUGGGCUGCAGACACCAGGACACUGUAUAUGGGAGCUGAGCUGAGCUGAGCCUCUAAACCAGGAACAGCUGAGGGCGAUGCCAGCGACGUCCUCUCUCUCAGCCGGCUGUCUGAUUGGCCCACUGGUUGCACAGCUCAGCCCUGAUUGGCCCAGCUGUCUCCUUUUAGGGUCAUGAUAGGUGCUGGAUGAGAGGGCUGUGGAAUCAUUACAGUCCAAUCAUGUCUAAGUACCAGCCAAGGCAUUUUACAAAAUUUAAUCACAUAUGCGUACCGCCUAUUUCUUCAAUGCGAUUAGUAAAUCUAUAAAAUGUGCUACAUAUUUACAUAUACAUUGUUUGUGGAUCGUUCUUUCGGUGGUGUAGUUUAU